UACGUAGGGUGCGAGCGUUGUCCGGAAUUAUUGGGCGUAAAGCGCACGUAGGCGGUUCGUUAUGUCGGAUGUGAAAGCCCUUGGCUUAACCGAGGAAGUGCAUCCGAAACUGGCGAGCUAGAGUACGAAAGAGGAUCGCGGAAUUCCCGGUGUAGAGGUGAAAUUCGUAGAUAUCGGGAGGAACACCGGUGGCGAAGGCGGCGAUCUGGGUCGAUACUGACGCUGAGGUGCGAAAGCGUGGGGAGCAAACAGG
rnacentral:rRNA from 1 species